rnacentral:lncRNA from 1 species
UGUAGCUUUUAUUCCAGAUCCUUGAAAGAAAAUGGAGCCAUUAUUGACUUUGUCCCAAUGGCUCCAGCUUUGCAAACCUAGCAAAGGCAUCUGAGGGUAUCAAUAACAAGCCCUCACUCGGGCAUGGAGUCAUUAUUAGGCACUAAGUUCCUCUAUCUUUCCCAAACAGCUGCAGCCUGCAUUGAAAAGACAACUCCGGCAUCACACACCAAUGGGAGAGAGACUUCAAACUCACAUUCUCUGUGCUGUCUUCGAAAUGCUGCCGUUGUCGGUUGCUUUCUUUGGUGAUGUAUCUUCAGAAACGCACAGGAAAGCAGAGAGUGACCCAAGUUGACAGAUCAGCACAAUGUAUGAUCUACACGGUUUCAUUGGAAAUCCUUUUGACAUCACUGUGGCUGCAUAGACCCUGCAGUGUACAGAAACCUGAACUCUUCAAGAUAUUAAGGUAUUUCAUAUGAGAAUACCUUUGAUGGUUUUUUUCUUUGCCUUUAAUAAGUCUUAUACAUUUUUUC